AAAUUUUCAGACUUAAAAGAGACC
rnacentral:siRNA from 1 species